CACCGACAGGAACACGAACACGAAGCUGACCCAGAGGUAGAUGUCCACCGCCUUGAUGUAGGAGACGCGGGGCAUGGAGGCGUUCACGCCCGUGAUGAUGGUGGACAUGGUCAGCACGGUGGUGAUACCUGCAACAUGCAGCGAUAGGUCAGCCGCUGACGAGGGUACGCAACUGCGCCCCACGUGGCACGGAGUCACCGUUUUACAUUCUCCCUGUCGGAAACCCAGCGGGAAAUCCCCCGGGGCAUGGAAACAUCCACGCUGUGGAUCUGCUCCACAAGCAGCCGGCGGCUCCACACACACACCCCCGCCCCCCACGCCCCGGCCAGCUCGCUGCUGCUGGUCCCCUUUGCCUGUCAGCCCCUCCGGGGCCUGGGGGUGGGUGAUGGGGCUCACCGGAUCAGCAGCGCUCCGCCAAGGACCCCGUCGGAUGUGGAAUUCGAAACAUGACCUGCUGGAAAAUAUAGCCACCCCCCCACACCUUAACACAUGCUUUUACCCAGUGAAACUCUGGCGGGCACAGCUCUGCGGUCGAUCCAGAAGGACACCCAGGACAGCAUGACCAUCAGGGUGGCAGGGAAGUAGGUUUGGAGCAAGAAGAAGAAGAUGUGGCGUCGCAACGUGAAGUUAAUGUACAGACGGUUGUACCAGCCUGGGGGACACAGGAAGAAGCCAGUGAGGUUCAGUUUGAGAGCCCAACCUCAGAUACUGACUCAGUAGCUUGCAACAGGGCCCGGAAAUCUGCUUGUCAGACACACUCCCCUGGUGGUUUGGAUGCAGGAGGACCGCAGGCUGCCCCCAGGAAAACGCUGCUGAGGGAACAAGGGCUACCUGGCUGGUGUGGAAAGUUACCGCUGAAUCAGGGCCUGCCCUGCUCUCCACAGCUCCAGCUGCCCUUCUAAGAGAAAUUUGAUAACGCCUGUGAGGGUGGUGUCAGCGCUCUGGAGGUCCUGCCCACGUGGGAGUACAGGUCAAGUUCUCAGGAGCCCUGGGUUGUUGAAGCACUCACAGAACAGAGAGCCUGGCCUGAAGAGGGCUUAAUACACAUCGGGGGCAGGAAUGACCACCACGCUCUCAGCAUGCAUGUCGUCACUGAGGGGCCGCGCUGCAGAUCUGACUUCCCAAGGAAAUCACAGGUGCCCUACACCAGCAUACCCGCCCACUGCCCCUGGAUUCACGGCCAGACUCGGGUCCUGGACUGUCACCCAGCCCAAGCCAUAGGGCAAGUGCCGCUUCACUCACCUCCUGCAGUAUGAGCGGACGAUGCUACAGAACGAAAUGGGAGGCCUGACAACAGAAAAAUCUCUGUGGGCCACACUUGAAGAAGGGCUGGCUAUUAUUAGUGUGCAUGCUCCCCAUUACUAAGGAGUUACAACUUGCCACUUUCAAGUGGGAGAAGAACACCUCAAGGGUUUGUCAAAAGAAAUGCUGUGGUCAGCGAAUUAAUCAGACUCGUCUGGCAGUAUCUUUUUAAAAGUCAAUUAAUUUUAAAAUUCCUGUAUAGUUACUAAUUGGUGGCUCAGUUGGUUAAGCGACCGCCUUUGGCUCAGGUCAUGAUCCCGGAGUCCCAGGAUCGAGUCCCACAUCGGGUUCCCUGCUCGGCAGGGAGUCUGCUUCUCCCUCUGACCCUACCCUCUCUUGUGCUCUCUCUUUCACUCUCUCUCUCUCUCAAAUAAAUAAAAUAAAAUAUUUAAAUAAAUAAAUGAGUAAAUAAAAUUCCUGUAUAGUUAACAUACAGUAUUAUAUUAGUUUCAGGUGUACAAUAUAGUGAUUCAACACUUCCAUACAUGACUCAGUGCUCAUCAUGUCUUUCAUAGAUGGGCAUCACAGCUUACUCUGAACAAGGCCUUCCAUGUAUGCAGAGCUUCCUAGUGUCACCACACCUUCACCAGCUGCCUGUUCAUUCAUUCACACCUGCAUUGCCCACAUCCAUCAGACCGUGCCCUGAGAGGCGAGGUUGGGAGUACAGAGAUCAAGAAGACACAAUUGCUUUCUCCAGGUGUUUCAGAUUUCCUAUCACCUUGGGUGACCUUGCAGCAUAGAGGAGAAAGGGCCCUCGCAUCUGCGCUGGCUGGCCUCGGCCAUGAAGUACGUGGCCCGGACUGACCCCUGGACUGGCGUCUGCAGAGAUGCAACAGACACACGGUCUUUUGGCAAACCCAUGGUCGCGCCUUUUGUCUCCAGGAGCAAAACCCUCCCACCCGGUGGCCUGUGUCCAGACCUGAAGCCUAUGCUGGUCUGCUGGUCACUUCAGCAUUCUG